rnacentral:rRNA from 1 species
ACGAGACACGUGAAACCUUGUGGGAAGCAGGGAGGACCACCUCCCAAGGCUAAAUACUACCUGAUGACCGAUAGUGAAGCAGUACCGUGAGGGAAAGGUGAAAAGAACCCCGGGAGGGGAGUGAAAUAGAACCUGAAACCGUGUGCCUACAACCGCUCAGAGCCCCUUAUGAGGGUGAUGAGGUGCUUUUUGUAGAACGAGCCAACGAGUUACGGUAUGUAGCAAGGUUAAGUACUUAAGGUACGGAGCCGAAGGGAAACCGAGUCUGAAUAGGGCGACUAGUUGCAUGCCGUAGACCCGAAACCGGGUGACCUAUCCAUGGCCAGGUUGAAGCGAGGGUAAAACCUCGUGGAGGACCGAACCACGUUGCUGUUGAAAAAGCAUGGGAUGAGCUGUGGAUAGCGGAGAAAUUCCAAUCGAACCCGGAGAUAGCUGGUUCUCUCCGAAAUAGCUUUAGGGCUAGCGUCGAGUAUGAGUAGUGGAGGUAGAGCACUGAAUGGGCUAGGGGGCAUAGCGCUUACCGAACCUUAUCAAACUCCGAAUGCCACAUACUUUGAGCUCGGCAGUCAGACUACGAAUGAUAAGAUCCGUGGUCAAAAGGGAAACAGCCCAGAUCGUCAGCUAAGGUCCCAAAGUGUAAGUUAAGUGGGAAAGGAUGUGAGAUUUCUAAGACAACUAGGAUGUUGGCUUAGAAGCAGCCAUUCAUUAAAAGAGUGCGUAAUAGCUCACUAGUCGAGAGAUCUUGCGCCGAAAAUGUAACGGGGCUAAACUUACCACCGAAGCUACGGGCUUGAACUUAGUUCAAGCGG